GAUGAACGCUGGCGGCGUGCUUAACACAUGCAAGUCGAACGGAAAGGCCCAAGCUUGCUUGGGUACUCGAGUGGCGAACGGGUGAGUAACACGUGGGUGAUCUGCCCUGCACUUCGGGAUAAGCCUGGGAAACUGGGUCUAAUACUGGAUAGGACCACUUCUUGGAUGGUGUGGUGGAAAGUUUUUUCGGUGUGGGAUGAGCUCGCGGCCUAUCAGCUUGUUGGUGGGGUAAUGGCCUACCAAGGCGUCGACGGGUAGCCGGCCUGAGAGGGUGUACGGCCACAUUGGGACUGAGAUACGGCCCAGACUCCUACGGGAGGCAGCAGUGGGGAAUAUUGCACAAUGGGCGCAAGCCUGAUGCAGCGACGCCGCGUGGGGGAUGACGGCCUUCGGGUUGUAAACUCCUUUCGCUAGGGAAGAAGCGUUUUUGUGACGGUACCUGGAGAAGAAGCACCGGCUAACUACGUG
rnacentral:rRNA from 1 species